CUGGCCUUGAACUCACAAGAGAUCCACCUGCCUCUGCCUCCUGGGUGGUGGGAUUAAAGGUGUGCACCACCACCGCCCAGUGAACUGUUUAAUUUUGGUAGAAGUCUACUUUGUCAAUCUUGAAAAAAGUGCUUCUUGCUUCUUGUGAUACAUUUUAAGGUCUCUUUGCUUAUUUGAAGUCCCAAAGAGAUGUUCCUGCAUUUUCUUCUGGAAAAGUCGCGGUUUUAGUUUUUGGUUGAUUUCUAAGAUUUUUAUAUAUGAGGAAGAAGGACCUGAUGUUUGGUUUUGUCUGUACGAGCACGCAGCUGUUCCGACAUAGUCUGCUGAAAGAUCUUCCUUUGUGUGUUCGCACGCACGCGUGUGCGUGCAUGCCCACAUGCACACACUUGCAGAUACAAAGAAUAGAGCCCAAGGCCUUGUAUAUUCUAGGCCAAUGCUCUGCCACUGAGCUACACCCUACACUGAGUUAGGACUUCCUGAAUAUCUCUUAGCAGUCUUUCUUAGUCUUUCCUGUAGAAGUCUUAGACAUCUUUUGUGAAACUUAUUCCUAAGGAUUUUGUGCUUUGUUAAAAUACCGUUGGAGGGCAGAGGUGACUCCGCAUGUAAGGUCAUUACUACCCAAGCUUGAUGAGCUGAGUUCCAUCCCCAGUGACCACGCUGUAGGAGAAAAUCGACCUUUGCAAGUUGUCCUCUGGCCUUUACAUAUGUGCUGUGAACUGUACAUUUGUGUGUGUUGGUGGGUGGGUGGGAGGCACAAAAAUAAGUACAUGAAAAUGUUAUUAUAGCUGGGUGUGGUGGUGCACACCUGUAUUCCCAGCCCCUGAGAAGUGGAGGCAGAAGGAUCAGGAGUUCAAGGCCAGCCUCAGCGGUAUAGUAAGUCUGAGGCCAGCCUGGGCUACAUGAGAUGCUGUCUCAAACAAUAAAAUAAAACAACAUGAAAGUCCCACAGUGGAUGGAAAGUUUAUAAAUCACGUGUUUCUAUCACUAGCCACAGAGCUAAACAUCAAAACAGUGGCAGAAAAGACAGGUCAUCAAGGUAUUGUAGGUUUGGGGAAGUGGGAACCAGGGAGGUGACAAUUACUGGUAGUUGCAGAUCUGAGAAGGUGGGAGGAAGGUGGCCAUGUGAUGGGAGGGAGGCUGGAUGAACAGCAGGGUGGGAUGCUGACUUCCCUAUCCCGACAGGUGCCUUUCUGGAUCAUUCUUCUGAAAAGAGAAGCCAGGGCAAUGCUGAGGUCCCAGGGGAGUCCUCCUGUCCCUAGACCCCUCCCAGAUGUACCAUCUCUCCAGCCCUCAGGCAGAGCUGCCACCGUGGGCUAGGACGGGCGUGGCCCUCAGGGACCAAGUGGUAGCUAGCUUCGUGGUCCAGGAGGUGUAGUUUACCCUUUUCAAAGCUGCGUCGCUUCUGCCCUUGACUGUCUCCACUUGCCGGGGGGAGAUGGAAGCCGAAACCUGGGCUUUCCCGACUCCGAGCAUACAGCCUAGCUCCCACUGCCUUGAGUCUCUUUCUCUUUGACUGCCACCAGCUCCAUCAUUUCUUCAUGGUGCUCCACCCAGUUACAGAGUCAGCUGCCCACGUCUCUCAAAGCAGCCAAAACUUCCAGCUCAUGCAAUGAGGAAAGAUUCCUAAGAAGUAGAAAACCCGGACAAGCCCCAACCCCACCCGGCCUGGGUCCCAUCACUGUCUCGAUGGGAAGGGCGUGGCUGAGAAAGGAGGGGAGAAGACAAGGGCGCUUUCCUGCUGGAAGUCAAAAGGGAUGAGAAGGGUUGUGCCAAAGGGAGCGUCUGUCCCUCUGUCCCCUCACAGUGCACUCACAGCCCUUUAAAGAAAGGCAUGCUCACUGUAUGUUAAGACCACGCUUGUCAUGUAACUAACAGAUCCUCAAGUACACUGUGUCUGUCCCUUGGUCACUACCAGCUCACCAGUUUGGCGGGAUGUCCUCCAUGCAAUGACUUAGACACUAGACUUUUCACAUACGAGGCACUCUAAGUCAUUCCCUUCUCCACCAGACCUGUGGGGAUGAAAAGAGACUUCUGUGAGAGGCCACACCUCAGAAGUCAGGUCCAGGGGACUGGGGAGACAGUUCAUCAGUAAAGUGCUUCCGUGCGUGCUGGUUGACCUGAAUUCAAAUCCUCACACCCAUAUAAAAGCUGGGCAUGCCCAGAUGUGUCUGUAACCUCAGCCCUUGGAUGGCAGUAGCUGGGAGGCAGACAGACACCCAGAACUCACUGAUUAGUCUAGCUGAAUGGGUGGGUGAGCUCCAGGCUCAGUGAAGAGGCUAUCUUAAAAGGAAGGUGAAGAGGGGAUGAGGAAGGCGUAGGGCAUCCACCUCUAGAUGGUACACACACACACACACACACACACACACACACACACACACACACACAGCCCAGAGUGACACAUGCUGUUUCAGCUCCAUUGGUAAGAACCUGUCACAGGGCCAAAGAGGCCUGGAAACGUCCCGGCUUCCUAACGGUUUCCCAGUGACAACCGGUGCCAGGAAGGGAGCUUAGACUUUGGUACCCCCGCCGUCAAGGAUGGCGGAGCCCUCGCCAGUCCUGUGGCCUCACCUGCAAACUGGAGGGGCUGUUGCAAAGGGAGGGCCUGUCUUCUGCUCCGUCGCCAUCAUGGGUUCUCCAUGCGUUCUCCAUCUUUGAAGUGGCUUGGGGUGCCCUCAGCCCCUCCUUCCCUCAGCCACUCAGGGGCCCGCUUCUUCAGAUAUCUGAUGUCUUCCAAGAAGGUUUCCAGGGAACUUAAUAUUCACAUGGAAGGCACCCAUUCUACCUAAGGAAUGUUUGUCAUGAGUGGGGGCAAUGCCUGGGGACACAGCCCCCAUCUCACUGGUUCACCGUUGGCGGUUUCUCCAGCUGAGGAUCAAGGUCCUUUCUCCAGCUACACCAAGACAUCACGUGUGCUCUGGGAAUAGGAAGUAGACACAUUCAUUGGUUAGAAGUUAGAAGGGAUCCCCUUAGAAGGGCGGCGAAGACAGCCCAGGACCCCAGGCAGAAGCAGAGAAGGGGGCUGCUUAUUUAAAGGGAGUCGAUAUGCCUAAUGCAUUGUUGAGAUCACAUGCAAUCCUCUCCCUCUUGGUUCCCUCUUCUCUUUUCCCCUCUUUUCUCUCCUGCUUCCCUUCUUCCUGGCAGGGACUGAAGCCGGGCCUCCUGUGAGGUAGGCUACUUCUCUUCUACUGAGCUGCAGCCCAGGCCUCUGCUGUGGUUUUCAGUCACACGCUGAGCAUAGUCAACUUUCCCCACAUGGAGAGCUAAUUAGAACAGUUUACUUAUCAAUGAUUCCUCGUGUGCUGGGCAUUAGAGUGAGCUGGUCCGGCUUUGCAGCAGCCUCAUCAGGUAGGGACUUUUGCUUCAUCUCCACUUUGUACAGAAAGGAAGAAACGUUCAGAGAGGCACAGUUAAUCUCCCAAGGUUUACAGCCCAUGAGAGAAGAGCUUAGCUUUAACUUUGGUGUCCAGCACAAAGUCUGCGUUCCUCAUGUGACUCUGUUUCCUUUUCGGGGGGCACAUCCAGUGUGCAGGUAGUGGAUCCCCCUUGGUGACCCAUGCUCUCCAACUUUCCUGUUUUCUAGAUCUAGCCAUCAAAAAGUAGCUUCCCAGAUCCCUGGGUCACUGAGCAAGGGACAGCUGACCUGGAGACUUGCCAGCUAUAUACUGCCUUGCAUGGAAGAAAACUACACCUGUGUAAAGAAGUUUGUGUUGGUUUCCAUGGAGAUUUGGAGACCUUUUUGUCUUGCUGCACUGAAAUGCUACAUUUUAGAUCGGAACACUGGCAAACACCAUUCUGCCUUCUGCCUCUGUGAACAAGGCUACCCUGUGUGCCUCAUGUGUAUGCCACCCAGAAGAUGACUUCGGAUCCCUUGGCAUUACAGGCUGUGAGGAGUCCCAUGUGGUUGCUAGGAGCUGAACCCGGGCCCUCUGCAAGAGCAUUGAGUGAUCCUAACUGCUGAGCCAUCUCUCCUGGCCCACUGAGUUGGCAUUUAAGAGCAUAUGAAGUAAUGUGUUCCCUAUGGCAUUCCCACCCAUACCUACCAUUCUUACUCAUCUCCACCCUGCCUUCUUAUCUAGCUGUCUAUUUAUUCAUUUUGAGACAAGAUCUCACUCUGGAUGCCAAGUCUGGAGCUCACUAUGUAGCCCAGGCUGGCUUGGAAUUCGCAGCGAUCCCCUUGCCUCAAAUCUCCUGAGUGCUGGGAUUGAAGACACGUUUUUGUUUUCGUUUUCCAGUCUUAAUGCUAACUGAUAAUUCUGUACAGACAUCUGUUCAGACGGCGUUCUGUUCACUCAUUUAUCCUGCUCCAGCACUCGAAGCUUCCACCCUUUGGCUCAUAUGAGCAGUGCUGAUAUGAAAUCAGGUGUGCAACUACGUCUGAGGCCGCUGUUAUCUUACAUUUUCCAAGUAUGAAUGAAUUAUGUAAAAGACAAAUUAAAAUUAA